UACGUAGGGGGCAAGCGUUAUCCGGAAUGACUGGGCGUAAAGGGUGCGUAGGUGGUUCAGCAAGUUAGUAGCGUAACUCCGGAGCUCAACUUCGGAACUACUACUAAAACUGUUGAACUUGAGUGCAGGAGGGGCAACUGGAAUUCCUAGUGUAGCGGUGGAAUGCGUAGAUAUUAGGAGGAACACCAGUGGCGAAGGCGAGUUGCUGGACUGUAACUGACACUGAGGCACGAAAGCGUGGGGAGCAA
rnacentral:rRNA from 1 species